AGUCCUCCAGCACAACAACCUGCUGGCGGUGAAGAGGCGCUCGCUGGGGGGGCUGCUCCUGCUGAGGCACCUGGAUUUAUCUUACAACAAAAUCCAGUUGAUCGAGGCACGUGCUUUUGAGAACCUUCCUUUCCUGGAGACCAUAAGCCUGGAGGGAAAUCUCAUCACCCAGAUCCGGAGCGACACCUUCCGGGCAUGGCACGGGAUGCAGUUCCUCCAGACGCUGUGAGUGUUCCAAGGGCUAAUGGUAGCUCAGAGCAGUGGCACUUGUCACUGUGUUCUGCUCACCUCUUAACCCCAGUAGGCAGCAGCAUCAAUGCUGAAUGACAACUCUGUCAGGCCACGCCUUUGCCUGGCUGGGUGCAGGACCAGAGACAACGCUCAGGGACAGUGGGAAUGU